AAAAUGAUAUGCCUUGGUGUAUUUGAGCGGUUCAACAUAUUUUUGCCCUAAUAUUUCGGCUAUUCCCAUUUAUUCCUUCGUCUGUUCCGCACGGAGAAGGGGAGAAGGAAGUUCGUUCGCGGUUCGGCUCCGGCUCCAGCGCGACUGGGCGACGGCGACGCAGCAGUUUCUCCAAAAGUUCGUCCAGCCGGCAGCGGGCAGCCAGCAAGGCAGCAAUCGUCGCAUUUGCUCGCAUAUUCUCUCAGUAUCUCCGACUCUCCCAUCUUCAGUUUUCCGAUUGAAGGCAGGCUGCAGCCCUGAACUCCUGAAGGUAGUUUAAUUUUGCUCAAAGAUUAUGGAGAAGUAUUUUAAGAAGGUCUCGCCAAUAGAAGAUUCAAGAAAGAAUGAUGAUGAAAAAAAUAAAAAAGGAAAUCGAACAUCCGGUGAAACGUCAAACAACGAGCCAACAAAUCUAGAGAACCUUCAAUCAGUUCCUGGUUUACGUAUACCUAUUUAUGAAUAUAGUUUUAAUAUUCGUGAUCAAAUUUGAAGAACAUAUUUGCAAAAAGGACCAUGUUAGUCUUGUAAUCAUGACUUCCUUAAAAGUAAGUUUGGGGUUCUCAUUAUGAGUCACUAAUUAGAUUAAUUACAAUGUUCUCCUUAGUUGUUGAUGUGCUUGAAAUAGCUUUGGAUGAUGGCAUAAGUUCUGAACAAAGAAGAGAAGCAUUUGCAUUAUUAGAUUCAA